CGGGCAGUAGCUCAAUGGUAGAGGUUUCGCUUCGUAUGCGAGAAGACCUGGGUUCGAUUCCCGGCUGCUUAC
rfam:Toxocara canis scaffold402, whole genome shotgun sequence.